GUGGAACACACGGGAAAUAAAGACGGAGCACAAAUAGCAGCGUUAGCUUUUCCUUUGUUAGAAAGUGUUUUGAAGGCGGAUUCGGCGUUUUAGAGUUUAAAGAAAUCGUCGCCAGGUCGAAGGAAGAGAUGGACGAUCAGCGCAGGCUGCUGGUUUUCACUCGGACUCCCCAGAUCAUCUUAUGCCAAAUAGAUCUCUCACGAUGCAUUGUAGUUAAAGAAG